rnacentral:rRNA from 1 species
GGGUCUAAUACUGGAUAUGACCUUCUGGCGCAUGCCAUGUUGGUGGAAAGCUUUAUUGCGGUUUUGGAUGGACUCGCGGCCUAUCAGCUUGUUGGUGGGGUAAUGGCCUACCAAGGCGACGACGGGUAGCCGGCCUGAGAGGGUGGACGGCCACACUGGGACUGAGACACGGCCCAGACUCCUACGGGAGGCAGCAGUGGGGAAUAUUGCACAAUGGGCGCAAGCCUGAUGCAGCGACGCCGCGUGGGGGAUGAAGGCCUUCGGGUUGUAAACCUCUUUCAGUAGGGAAGAAGCGAAAGUGACGGUACCUGCAGAAGAAGCGCCGGCUAACUACGUGCCAGCAGCCGCGGUAAUACGUAGGGCGCAAGCGUUAUCCGGAAUUAUUGGGCGUAAAGAGCUCGUAGGCGGUUUGUCGCGUCUGCCGUGAAAGUCCGGGGCUUAACUCCGGAUCUGCGGUGGGUACGGGCAGACUAGAGUGAUGUAGGGGAGACUGGAAUUCCUGGUGUAGCGGUGAAAUGCGCAGAUAUCAGGAGGAACACCGAUGGCGAAGGCAGGUCUCUGGGCAUUAACUGACGCUGAGGAGCGAAAGCAUGGGGAGCGAACAGGAUUAGAUACCCUGGUAGUCCAUGCCGUAAACGUUGGGCACUAGGUGUGGGGGACAUUCCACGUUUUCCGCGCCGUAGCUAACGCAUUAAGUGCCCCGCCUGGGGAGUACGGCCGCAAGGCUAAAACUCAAAGGAAUUGACGGGGGCCCGCACAAGCGGCGGAGCAUGCGGAUUAAUUCGAUGCAACGCGAAGAACCUUACCAAGGCUUGACAUGAACUGGAACAGCGCAGAGAUGUGUUGGCCGCUUGCGGCCGGUUUACAGGUGGUGCAUGGUUGUCGUCAGCUCGUGUCGUGAGAUGUUGGGUUAAGUCCCGCAACGAGCGCAACCCUCGUUCUAUGUUGCCAGCGCGUUAUGGCGGGACUCAUAGGAAACUGCCGGGGUCAACUCGGAGGAAGGUGGGGACGACGUCAAAUCAUCAUGCCC